rnacentral:rRNA from 1 species
UACGUAGGGGGCAAGCGUUGUCCGGAAUCAUUGGGCGUAAAGCGCGUGUAGGCGGCUCGAUAAGUCUGCUGUGAAAGUCCAGGGCUCAACCCUGGGAUGCCGGUGGAUACUGUCGAGCUCGAGUCCGGAAGAGGCGAGUGGAAUUCCUGGUGUAGCGGUGAAAUGCGCAGAUAUCAGGAGGAACACCAAUGGCGAAGGCAGCUCGCUGGGACGUGACUGACGCUGAGACGCGAAAGCCAGGGGAGCGAACGGG